rnacentral:lncRNA from 1 species
ACAAUGAUAUCAAACAUCUUAAAUUUCUAGUAAUAGAAGAGUGUCAUAUAAAAUUGGAGCUAUCAUCUUUAGCUCAUACUAAUACUUCAAUUUUUUCCGAGCUAUACAUCAAUAAUAAAAUUUUCCUUAUAACAAACCAUCUCUUUUUUGACUAGUAACAGGGACAGCGAACCUAGAUGAGAAAUUACACAAAAGCCCAUCUUCUUCUACACGAGCUCCAUCAUCAAAAUUCAAGGCAUAACUUUGAGCAUCAUAUUGAAAUUGGGCUUUAUUUGAUUUCUUCAAAUUGCAGUGUACUCCAAUUUUCUUUACCAAAUUCUUCAUAAUCUUGAUCUUUAUACUAGCCAUGACUCUUUUUGCUCUAGCAAAGACCUGCUGUGAACUUCGUGGGCUUGGGCCCAAUUAAAGCAAGAAAACUUUAAACAACCACACGGCUCGCAACCAGUCGGAGAAGAUGAUGAAUAUUCCUCGUAGAGAUUGGUAUUUUUGUCGCCGUCUUGUUUUUGCUCUGCUAUGGGAGUAUAAUUGUUCAUGAUAUUGGAUGAAUAAGAUCCUUUCACUCUUGUUAAAGGUCUCGGGUUCGAGCUUUAAAUACGAAAAAGAAUUUUGAAAGAGGCGCUUUUAAUAGGACUUACACAACGCGAAUCCAAAUUAGUCGCGCACAAGAGGAAAGAUUAUAUACUUCUAUGCUUAACCAGAAAUCUUGAGUUUGAGCUUUGAUAGAAAACGCUAUGCAAAUCUGAAUUAGUCGAGCGAAUACCGCCGAGUGAAAUAAAUCAGAAAAAAUAUGUAUAUGUUUGUUGGGGGAGGGUGUGAAGAAGGAGAAUGAAUGGGUGUUUACUUAUAAUGUAUUUGUUAGUGCGUGUGCAAUGUGUGUGUGAAAGGAAAAGGGGAGUGAGAAGAGGGCAAGUGGCUGCAAAAGGAAGAGCAGAGAAAUAAUAAACCUAUAGGAUUACAAGGAAGGUUCUUUGUAUUUAUAUUUAUAAUAAAAGCAAAAUCUAACAGGAAAAGGAUUGUUGUUUCCUUAUCCACAUAAAUAAAGGAAAGGAGUGUAGGGUAAAGAUUAAUAUAAAGGAGUACAAGGAAGGUUCUUUUCAAAAACAUUUAAUGUGGCAUAUAUCUUAGCAAAAUUUAAUAUGCAACGGGGUUGCUAUUUUUCAUAUCCACAUCAAUAAAGGAAAGGAGUGUAGGUUGAAGAUUAAUAUAAACGUUGUCAAAAUACAAUGACCUUUUUUUAAAAAAAAUAAAAAAUAAAAAAUUGGCAUUCAUAAGACAAAACUCACUUAUGCAACUAAUUCAUUUUCGUGCCCAUUUCAAGAGUAACGAUACCAACCAAGAUUUAUUUCAUUUCACGGAAUUCAAAUUUGGGAUUUCUGAUUAAAAAUUAUGGAUAGAUGUUUCAUACGGUGCGUCAUACGGUGCAUUUUUUAUUUCUUUAAAUAGGAAAAUACCAUCUAUUGUUUACUGGUCAAUUCUUAAAAACAACAACAACAACAGCAGCAGCAACAACAACAAUAAUAAUAAUAAUAAUAAUAAUAAUAAUAAUAAUAAUAAUAAUAAUAAUAAUAAUAAUAAUAAUUUUGUUUUUAUGAAUUUCUUUAUCCGAAAACAAAUAUCUUAUCUGUUAGGUAUAGUAAAUCCCACUAGUCUUCAUCAAAGUAAAGACGGAUGGAAAGAGUGUUGUGGCUCUGAAUGUCGCGUCUACAACGUGUGAUGAUAAGUUGAUACAUCACAUGCAUUUAACUUGCGUAUUAAAAGUUUUCUUAAUAUUCUGAGAGUAGUACUAUUUAAGUCUUAGGCACAACGGUAAAGACUAUCCUGAUUUUACGAGGGAUGACGAUAGGGCGGUGCGAGUGCGAGGCGGGGCGGGUUUAGACAUAUGCGGGGCGGGGCGGGACGGAUUUAUAUAUAUGCGGGAGCGGAGCGGGGCGGGUUAAACUAAAAAAAAAUAAUUUUUUGUGGGUGCGGGUGUGAGUUUAAAUACUCAUUUUUCACACAACUGAAAAGGAAUAAAAAAUGUUUAAUUUUAACAAAUCCAAUCUCAUACACUAUAAAUUAAUGUUCUUCUAUUAUGACAAAAACAAUGAGGUCACUUGACGAAUAAGUAUAAUACAAAUCUCUACGGUAACUGUAUGAAAACACAGAGUAAAAACUUGAACAAUAACAGAAAAUGAGAAAAUUACCCGCUACUUCUGAUUGAAAUAAAUUAAGAUGUUAAAAUAUUUAUUCUGACUAUGCGUGUAUACAUGCUGAUCCCGCGUUCAUUGACCGCAAAAAUAAAAUAAGACAAAUUGAAAAGGAAAAAAAAAGUUGCGGGGCGGGGCGGGUGGAUGCGGGUUAAAAGAGCUAUGCGGGGCGGGUUGAAAUUUUGCGAGUUAAGAAAGAACCCGCCCCGCCCGCACCCGCACCGUCCUGCACCGCUUGCCAUCCCUAGACUUUACCUUGAGAUGAAGUGUUAUGGAUCCAAUAUCCAUAACCAAUUAUCCUUAAUUAUUGUUACUUUUCAGUGUAAUUCCUUUGUUAUAGUAUCAAUAUAUCAAUCUCUUAUUUUUGUAUUUGAUCGUGAAUAUUGGAUCCAUAACAUGAAGUCAUGGUAUUCUUGGAUAUUUUGACUAGCAAAUGCUUCUCUUAUUCAUCUUCUUUUUUUCUUUCUCAAUUUCUUCCUUUUUGUAUGUUUGGUUUUUUUUUUGGAGGGGGGGGGGGUGGUUAGGUCUAAAAUCGUGUAACUUGAUGUUUGCUUUGUUAGUGAAGACAUUGAAAUGAUACUAAUCAAGUCAUUCAUUAACCAAAGUAUACUGUGGAUUAUGCCAUGUGCACAUCAUGAUGUGCUGACUAAUGCCCACCUUCAUCCAAAUAUAUGCUAGCUAUUCUUUGUGUGUAAUCUAAUACUGAAUCUUUUAUUUUCUCUUUCUUUUUGUUUUUCCCUUUUUGCCGACAAAAAACAACAUCUUGUGAUCUUACAAAAAGUAUGAGUCAUAUGCAAGUCAUAUUCUUAUGCAAUGACAGAAUAUACUAUGGUAUUAUAUUAAAAAUAUUUUUAAAAGGGAAUUCUCUUUUGACCUCUUUAGUGAAAAUACUGCUACCAUCUUUACCAAAUGAUCUUUGUUUUCAAAGGUGAAACUUCGAGAUAUCUUUUAGCUCCUCAACACAAAAUUGCUAGUAUAUCUUUUAAAGCUAAAUUCUUUUGGUUUUUAGGUCAAAUUGCGUGCAUUUCAAUUAAUUCAUCGGAUAUCCGUAACUCGUAUUAUUACAUGUACGGGAUGAUUUCGCCAAUCAUAACAUAGCCGGAUGGGAAAAAAAUCACUUAAUUCUUCAUGCUAAUACUAUACCAACUUGAACUUCCAAGAUUAGCCCAUAACAAGCUAAAAACUAAUAAGUGCCAGCAUUCUCAACGCAAGCAACUACUUAGUGUUGUUCAAAAAGAAUUACCAUUAACCAAUACUUCCAUUUUGUCUGAAAUCUUGAAAGUUUUACUACAUAUUUACACGAAAGUUUUCCAUUUUAAGAGGUACGGCAGGUCUAAUAAAAUAAUAUUUUAAUAUAAAGUGUCAGAUACGGUAGGCGUAAUAAAAUACUACUAUGUUAAUAAAAAGGUAUCAUUAUCCUUACUUGUAUAGCUAAAGAAACUUUGACAACAAUAACAAUAAAUUCAGUGUAAUUUCACAAGUGAGAUUUGGGGGAAGUGAUGUAUACGAAGACAUUACUCUUAUCUUAUGCAGACAAAAGAACUUGACAAAGAAAAGUUAAAAUAACACGUUGGAGAUGCAAUAUUGUCGAAAUUUGUAGAGCGCAGUGCAUGAUGUGUGUAGUCGAACAUCUCUGAUUCGAACCGUGCUACAAACAAAAGUUUAAUAUUUAAGUAGAAAAAAAUAAAGAAGCAAGAUCCAUUAUUCACUAAAUUUUGAAUUGUGUGCGCUAAAUGAAUUGCUCGGGAUUCCUAGAUUAUAAAAAAACGUUCUCACAAUUGUCUCAUAGUUAAAACUUCACUCAUACCUAAUAUUUUAAAAACUACCAAAACCAAAUUCAACUUCCCCUAUACCAUUGAAUCAAGAGCUCCAUCUAUUGAACAAAUGUUUUCCAAUAAUAAAAGACGACAGUAGGUAUUAUUCCAAAAUAUUAUUUAGCUGAAUCUCUCUGCACCAGUCCAUAAUCUCAAGCAGCAUUAAACCAGUAAAGAAAUAUAUGCCUUUGGACCAAACUAAGAUAAUAGCAGGUAUAUAACUCUACUAUAAAGAUGAAAUACAUGCCAAAUUCAGCAAACACAAAUUCCAAAUCAAAUUUCAGCAUGUGACUGAAUUCUGAGUUCAUACAACCCAAACAAGAAAUAGAGGUAAUAACCUUGUUAAGGAACUGUUUCCCUUUCUGCCUAUGGAUAAAGAGAAAGAACAACCACAAUAAUAAUAGUGAUAACAAUAUCUCCCUAGCAAAUGUGCAUAUGAGAGCUGCGGAAUUUAAGCUGCUAUCUAAUGAUGAACGUAUGCGCAGCGCUAUACUUACCUUUCAGGGAAGAUGGCAGCCACCAUUAGCUGGAUAUUUUAAACUUUAAUGUAGAUGGAUCAGUGAAGGGACAUCUAAACAAAGGAGGCAUUGGCGGAGUAAUCAGGAAUAAAGAGGAGCCCUGGGUGUUAGGCUAUUACAGUAGUACCCGCAUCAAAUCAUACACAAGCUGAACUACUGGCAUUGCACGCCAUGGCGAAGCCAAGCCAGGAAUUUCAAUAACGGGGUUCAAAAUAUAAAAGUAGAUAUAUGAAGAAGUUAAGGGAAUUCAACAUAUACAAUAUAUACAUAAAGAAUAACUUUGACCUUGAAUAUAUAGUAUAACUUUCAGGCGAAUCCCCUGGUCUGCCCAUGCUUGCAUGGGCGAAAGCUAAGCUGUAGAGCACGCCCUAAAACUUCUGGAAAGUUAAACAGAUUCAACAGAGGUUAUGAGCUUGUUAAACUCAAAUAGAAAUGCUUACAUUUCUAAAAUGCAUGACGGCAGGUUGCUGAUGAGCCAGCUGCGGAAGGGGGGAAAUCCAGCAUAGCUUUCGAGAACGAAAGGCAGUAGCAGAUAUACUGGCUAAGGAAGGAAUUAAGCGGGUAAAUCAUUUUGUACUAAAUAGUUUAGAAUCAGAUAGGAAGGAGAGCAACUUCUGUUAGAAAUAUUGAGAAACCACUAUGCUCUAGAAAGCAUAAACUCACCAGUUUGUACUAGAUUUAACUAGUUAUUAGUAAUAUACUUCUCCCUUUUACCCAAGUAUUUCAAAAACUAACAAAACCAAGGCUUCUGUCUAUCCAAUAAUAGGAAUAAUUUCAGAACAUUAUUUAGCUGAAUCUGCUAGCAGAAGUUCAUAAGCUUAAUUAGCACCAACCAGUAAAGAAAAAUAGCAUUUGAACCAAAGUAUUACCUGAUAAUUGAAAAUUAAACAAGGAGCCUUUUGAACCAAGUAAAAUGGCAGGUGGAUGACAGGGCAAUUCUAUGACAAUUUACAGGUGAAAUCAACUUGGAUAUGAAAUUCAGCAAAAAGAGAAAAUUUCAAAAUCAAAAUUCAAUGUCACUGAAUUUUGAGUUUUUUCUCCCCCUAAUUUUCCUACAAGCCAAACAGCAAUAGAGGUAAUAUACAAACAAUCUCGCAUACGCAACAAGGUAUAAAAACAAAGAAGGUAUAAAAAGGGCAAAAAGGCAAGAUUUUUACGAUUAUAAUAUAACGUAUGUACAAAAUCAACCUCAACUGUAAUAAAAAAGAGCAAAAAAGGUAAAAUUACUGCUAAUAAAAAACACUCAAAUAUUACUACACAUAAAUUACUUUAACUAGCAGCAGUAACUUCUCUCACAGACAUGGGUUUCACAGGCGGGGAAGGAGGGAGUCUAGAAGUGAAAUUACCCAAAGGGGGCUCUUCAUCAUCAAACCCAUCUUCAAAAUUCAGCGAAUAACUCAACGGAUCAUAACGGAACUGAUCAGUAGAGGAGGAGUGUUGUCUCUUGUGCCGGUUUGAUCCAAAGUUGAAAACCAUUAAAACCUUGUCUUUAAAAUUCGAUAGGUUAUUGGGUUCCCAAAUCAGCGCCGGGUUCUCAUCGGAGGAUGACGGCGGAGGCGGAGGAGAACGGUGGCGGUGAGGGAAACAACAGGAGAAGCAAAGGGAGUUCUUCAACUUCUGCUUCAGAGAUGGAGCUGAAUUGGGUACAGAAAAAGGAUGAUUUUCGUCCAUUGGAGUUUGAGAUUUGAGAGUGCAAAUGGAGGAGAAAUUGAGGGGUUUUACACAGUUUUUGUAGAGAAAUGGAAAAUGACGAAUUUGUUUUAACUAUACCUCGUAUAAUAAUAGCCAAAGGUCCAAAUAUUGGGUUGUAAUUUCUAGAAUGGUUUAAAAAUAUCCCUCGUUAUAUUAUUAUUUUCGAAAAUAAUUUAAAAAUAUCUUUUAUUAUACUAUUAGAUUAUCUAUACCCCUGCAGUCAUACUUUAUGUUCAAAUAUGCCCCUCAUUUAAACGGAGGGACACGUGUCAUCGUCUUGUUGGCCAAUUCUAAAUAUCUCUUAAUUAAUUNNNNNNNNNNNNNNNNNNNNNNNNNNNNNNNNNNNNNUAUAAAUAACCCAAUAGUAUAAUGAGGGGUAUUCGUAGACCAUUUUCGAAAAUACAAGGGUAUAUUUGAACAUUUGCCGUAUAAAAAUAUACGCGGUACUUUUACUUUUCCUUUUUUUUUAAUUGCACAAUCUUAUUUAAUUCAGGUGACAUGAAUUGCCCUUGUAGAAGUAAACAAUCCAUUUUAACUUCUACUAUUAAUAAUUGGAGUAAAAUCACAUUUUCUGUUAAUCAAAGGUUAAAUAUAAUUAGCCAAAUAUCAUCAGGAGUUAAAUUGGAAUAAACUAAUAACUCAAUAUCAAGAAAUUUAUUUUUUUCUAUAAAAUAUAUAUGAGUUUUACUCAUUUACUACUAGUCAGUAUAUGAUUUUAGUAGGUUAAUUUGUCUCUCUUUUUUUCAAAAAACAAAAAGAACAUUUUAUGUGCACUCAUUUUUUAAGUCUAUUUUAGAAAAAGGAUAAUGAUUUUCUUUAUUUGAAAGUAAUUUAAUUUGAAUUUUUUUUUAUUGUACUGUUAAUGACGUUGUAUAGUUAUAGAUAUAUUAUAAUGUGUUUAAAUUAUAAAUUUGUAAAAAAGAAAAAAAUUCUUAUUAACUUUCUGUUUAGUCAAGUACGGUCACAUAAAAUAAAAUAUGUAAUAAAUUAGGUUGAUCAAUCUUUGUUCAGGCAAUCUCAACUUGAUGUAGAUUUGACGAAAUGGAUAAGGCAAUUUUUCUCGAAAAAACAUUGCCUAAAUUACCUAAUUUCAGCCUUUUAUUUGUUCAUUUCCUUUUCCACUUUUUGCCAAACUUUUUUCGAAUUUCUCCACUGUCUUUUUUUAAUGUUCUUGAAUAGCUACACUUUCAAUUAAAUAUGAUAAAUUUGAUAAUGCAACUCAGCCUUGACUAUGGUGUAAUAUAUCAAUAAAUUCAGCCUAGAGGAAGUCGCACAUACCAAUUUGUUUUUGUUUUUAAUACUAACUUGCUUACACAAAUUAACAAAAUAAGAACAAUUGUUUCUCCAUCGCAGUUUAUUUAACAAGAUUUCUUUUAUUUUCUCUUCCCAAAAGGAUUUAAACAUUUUUAUAUGUAUAAGUUCUUAAUAUUUGAUUUCAAUUUUGCCUUAACCUUUAAUAAAUUUUGUGUCCAUCUCACUUUACACAUGUUAAAAUCGUGAAUAAUAAAUCAUAUUCUGUAACUCCGUAUCCAGUCAAAUGAACAGGGAUAAAGUAAUAAUAACAUAUUAUAAUUUAUUUUAUUACUCAAUUCAUCUUAUUUUAUGUUAUCCUAAUUGACUGGAUACAAAAUAAAAAAUAAAAAACUUUUAUAAUUUAUAGUAUCAAAUACGCCUUACCUUUUGUACGGUUAUAAAAUUUUAUUAUCACAAAUACAAUAAAAAUUAUAAAUUACAUUAAUUUAAAAUUUAACAAAUUGAUAAAAGAAAUGAUCACAUAAACAGAAACAAAUGGAGUACAAAAAUGCGUCUUGUCACACUGCUUAUCUGCUAAGGCUUGUAGAGCUACAUCUCACAUUUUUCCUAUAUCAGUUUGUUUUUUUUUUCCCUACAAUCUUGAUGUUCGGGUCAAUCACGCACCUCCACUAAUUAUACAAGGUAUAUACUAUCUCAAGAAGUAUAGAGACAAAUUGAAAAAAAUUGUACUAAUAUAUUUUUGCCUCAGCUGUGAACUUAAAUCUCAUGAUCUUAAUCAUUUUAUGAACUACCAGGUCACACCAUUGAGUACUGUAUAUUCAUUUUUCUAUAUUAAAUAAGUGAAAUGAUGGUAGCUUAUAUAUACUAUAAGAUGAGUAACAUGGGUGGGGAAUGCUUUUUGUAUGCCAAAAACUUUAGGGCCUAAAAUCUGCCAAGAUUCAGAGCAAAGAUAAACUCACUUGCAAAAAGACUUCUGCUUUUCAGGUGAGGGUACUAUAUUCUUUCUUUUUAAUAGGGAAAAUGACAAUGAUCUUGACGUGUAUCUUUAUUGAUUGUUCUUUCACUUUUCUCAUGACUAUCAUGUUCUGUAGCAAGAAACUGAUCAGUAUAAGCCAAGAACUUUCUUCUGCUUUAUAACAGUAGCUACAAAUUAAAGACUGUUUCUGAUUUCCUUUGUGGUGUUGUUUUGUCUGAUUUUUUUUUCUGUUCUUGAGUUUGUGUAAAAAUGGCUGGUAUGCUUCCUGGUAUUGAGCAUGCUAGAAGGAGGAGAUUUCAUCAAAGGGGAAGUUGGUUGGAUUCAUCAAAUACAAGGAAGUCCUCUUUUUGCAUCUACACAAGCAACCAUGAUCAAUACCAUCUUAGUUCAAGCUGUUCCAAGGUACUAGUAAAUUCCUUUGACUACUACUCCUCCUCCUUGUUAGAUAGAAAAUUUUGUUUCUGUGUAACGUAUAGGUCACAGGUUUGAUCCGUGAAAAUAGCCAUUAAUAUUUGCAUUAGGAUAGACUGUCUACGUCACACACACGGGGUUCAGCCCUUAUCUGAACACUACAUAAAACGAGAAAUGUUUUGUGCACCGUACUAUUCAUUUAGUAUUAGGAAUAAUUUAAUGGUUAGAUUAAUCUGGAUUUGUGUGCGCAGAGUCUACCAAAAAGGAAGAAUAGUUCUUCCUUUUCGGACUCGAAACCUCUAAUUAGCGGAGGAGGAAUCUAAUCCGUCUCACUAGUACUCUUGCCGGUGGUUGAUAGAAAAUUUUUUGCAGCUGCAUAUUCAAUAUUUUAUGUGGACAGAAUGAGUUGAUACUAAUUCUUAUGUCCUUAUUCUUAAAACUGAAUUAACAGCAAAGAAGUGCAGCAAGCCAUGUAUACCAAGAUGAGAAACUAGUUGAAAUUGCCAGAGAAGCCAAGCAAAGGGUGGAUGAAAGGCUAAGUGCACAAUGGAAAUCAGAAAACAAGAGGUAAAAGUCUAAAUUUCCCCAACCCCCUUAUUUUAUUGUCUUUCUUUUGACCCUUUAUCUACCUAAGCGGAUCAAUAGUUUAAACUUGAUAUGUUCAACAUGUAACGAUCUUAUCACUGAAUAUAUUGCACUAUUGAAAUAUAUGUUCAAAAUUUUAAUUUUUGUUGUAAAUUUAAUAAGUUUUUCACAUAUAUAUCUAUGUUCUGUGUCAAAAAUAUUGGAUUCAGUUGAACCGAUUCGCCCAUGUUUAUUCCACUUGGGAUUGAUUGUUUAUUUCAUUUGUUGUAAUGAAAUCCAGGAGUACUAUAAAUAAUAGACAAAAAAAGCAAGGGGUGGUGGAGAUUAAGCCAAUAUUGGGGAUGAAAGAUUUGCAGAAAGAAGUGUUUAGAUUAAAGAAAAGUAUGACAAAGAGGUUCAUCAAUUGGACAAAGCUGAGGUGGAAGUCUUCAGAACAAGAUGAAUGUGCCAUUUGCUUGGACAAAUUCAGGAUGAGGGACAACCUAAUGCAAUUGCCUUGUGCCCAUAAGUUCCAUUCCAAGUGUCUAGUGCCAUGGCUCGAGUCUAAUUCGCAUUGUCCUUGUUGCAGAAUGGAAAUCUUGACUAUUCUGUAAUCUUUUCUAUAUCGCACCAAUUUUAUCGGAUGAAAAAAAGAAGAAUAAGCUGCAUCUUUCUGUUUCAUGCCCGAAACUUGUAAAAUAGUAAUAUAAAAGCUUUCUUGUUGCCAAGUUUAGUGAUGUUGAGUAAUUGGGAUACUUUGUUUGCAUUAGUUGUGGACUUAGUUAAGAUAUACAAAUUGAUCAUUUGUACGAGCUAUAGGUUAAUUAAGAGAGCUUGUUCAACUGCGCUGUAAAUGGUAGUAAUAUUUAACACUUGAUGUUUAUCAAAUACUCUCAAUCACUAAAAUCAAUAGAGCUCUAUUUUGGCACAAAAUUGAUUUCUUUCCGCUAUGAUGAAAUAAACUCUAUUUAUUUCUAUUAUCAAGAACUAGAUAACUUUUCCUAUCUCAAACUAUUUAAAUUCAAAAACUUAAGAGAGCAAUAUCAAAAUAACGUCAUAAUUCGGUGAAGAAAUGCUAUUUUCAUCACACAUGACAGAAACAACACAUUAAUCUGACCGUAUUUAAACUUUUACCUCUAAGUUUUAAACUUAUUUAUUAAAUGAACCGAGCUCAAAAAAUACAAACUAGACUAUUUUAUGCUGACUUAAUAGAGCAAUUCCAACAUAUCUUAAAGAGCUACUUAUAUUCUACCUGAGAAAUAUUAUUUUAAUUUCCUGAUUUUUAAGACUGAUAUGGUUUGGCUUAAAAAAAAUACGAAUUCAUAUAUAAAAAUCAUACCGGACAAUAGAUUAAUUUAUACUUUAAACCAAAUAUUCAAACUUCAAAAAUAAUUAAAAAAUUAGAAAAUAAAAUUUGGCAUCGAUAAAAGAGACAAAUCACCAAAGAUUGUAAUGAAAAGAAUAUAAUCCUUACAUUUUUAAUUACAAGUCUAAGAUUUGAUAGUGUAUACGGUCAAAACCGAUCUUGCCCUUCGGUAUGACUGAUCGAGACUGGAAGAUGAUAGAUCAAGGUUCAACCUCGUAUAACAUCAAGCUAUGAUGCGAAGUUAGGUUGCUGAACUCAUGACCCAGAGACCGACCAAGAUCGAGAUCGAGCAAAAUAGAGACUGGUCGAGAUCGGUCAAGAUCGAGACUAAGCAAAACCAAGACCAAUCAAGAUCAUGAUCGGCCAAGAUCGAGAUCGAGCCAAAAAAACAGAAAAGCCAGAAUAUUCGCAAUUAGGGCGAGAAUCUCGACAGAAAUCCCAUGGAAUUCCUUCUGUAUUUUUAAUUAUAUUCAAAAUAUGACUUCCCUACUAUAUAAAGGGUUUUUGAUCAUUUGCAGAGACGGGAUAUUUUUUGGAAGGAAAAGCAAUACAUUGCCUUAUUUCAGCUUUCAAUACCUUGUUACUCUAUUCAUACAUUAGCAGAAUUUUCACUUGGUUAGAGAGUAAUCUAACUCGAAAGCCAAAGUUAAUUGAUCUGUUUGGCUUGUAUUUAUUUCUUUUACAGUUAAUUUCGAUAUUCAUUUAUAUAUUUUCUCACUUUGUACCAAGUUAUACUACGUAUCUUUAAAAUCGCGUAUCAAUUCAAUUGUUAUCCGUUUUUCGGGUAAACAGACAUAAUAAAUAUUUCCUCAUUUAACGAGGUUAGGCAUUUUGAACUAAAUUAAUCGAGUCUCAAAGUUGAGAUAAUAUACUUCAAAAAUUAGAGGUCUAAGAUUAGACAUGACGACCGUUUUCUCCUUUAAUGACGUUAGAAAUUUCGAAUCUGAUUUAUAGCCAGUUUGGCCAAGCUCGAGAAAUCUGCUUAUUUUGAUAAGUAUUUUUUUUUAAAAAUGCUUUUGGAGAGAAGCAGAUUGUGUUUGGCUAAUCACGCUGAAAAACACUUUUGAGCAAUAAUUUAUAUUUGACCAAUCUUUUCAGAAAGUGCCUUUAAGUAUCAAAUUACGAAUAAGUACAUUGAAUAUAUUUACUUAAUAGUUAAUAUUAUAAGUAAAUAAAUAAUUUUAAAAAUUUAUUAUUACAUGCAAUAAUUAAAUAUUUUUAUUUUAUUUAAGUAAAAUAUAAAAAUAAAAUUUAAAAGUACUUAAUUCUUUUAAUAUAAGUUAAAUAUAUUAAAAAGCAUCCAACAAAUAUAAAAGCAUUCACCCAUAAAAUCACUAUAUAUUAUAAAGUUAUCCUAAAAAUAAUAAGAAAUAUUUAUACAUUAAUAUCCUAAGUAUUAGGUUUAUCGGUUAUUUUGAUAUAUACUAUAUUUUAUUAAGGGUAUUUUUGGUAUGAAGAAAAGUCAAACUGCUUAUCCUUUUGAAGAGAAACUAUUUUUUUCUGCUUCUCAAAAAUUACUUCUGCUUCUUCCCAAAAGCAUUUUUUUUCCUCAAAAAAAGCUUGCCCAAAUAACUCAAGUUAGGAAAAAAAAAGUAUUUUUAAAAAAUAAUAAUUUUGGUCUCUUGAGAAGCUUGGCCAAACAGGCUAUUAAUCGGGUCCCAAAUUGAUACUAUAUCAUACCUCAAAAUCCAAUUUAAAAAAAAAAAAAAAGGGUGAAAUAUUGUUGUCGUAGGGCGUGGGUGGGUGUUGGGGAGGGAGAGGGCAAAGGUUUGCAUUUCCUGGGAGGUUCCCGGGAGGGAAGACAGUCAAAACUCCCAAAUUCCCCUUCCUUAACUUCUACGACAUAGAAUCAUUCAAACUUUUAGAUCUGAACAAACAUUGUCCGAUUCAAAAAGAAGAAGACUUCUUCUUCUUAUUCAAAAACCCUUUGCACAAUUUCUCAGUAAUAUCAUAAACCCAUAUACAAACAAGACCCAAAUCACACCAAAAAACACGAAAGAUUGGAUUUUUAAAUCAAUGAAAUUAGAAAAAACAUGAUGGAACUCAAACCCCUUAAUUUGGUUCCACCUAAUAGACCCCCACCAGGUCUCAAUCUCUUUCCAAACCUCAAUCCAUCACAAAAGACUUUAACUUUCCACAAAUUUUUAGUCCUUUUCCUAACUUUUAUAGCCUAUGCAGCUUUUCAUGCCUCAAGAAAACCUCCAAGUAUAGUAAAAUCAGUUCUUGGCCCUGAGAUCAAAGCCCAAAAUGGCACUAAUGGGUGGGCCCCAUUUGAGGGUCCAAGUGGGCCUCACCGUUUAGGGGAGCUUGAUCUUGCAUUCUUGUUAGCAUACUCAAUUGGGAUGUAUUUUGCUGGACAUAUUGGUGAUAAUAUUGACUUAAGGCUUUUCUUGACUGUUGGAAUGCUUGGUAGUGGCAUUUUGGUUAUUGCUUUUGGUUUAGGUUAUUUUCUUGAUAUACACUGGCUGUUAUUUUUUGUAAUUGUUCAGAUUUUAUGUGGGUUGUUUCAGUCUAUUGGUUGGCCUUGUGUUGUGGCAGUAAUGGGAAAUUGGUUUGGCAAAGCUAAAAGGGGUUUGAUAAUGGGAGUUUGGAAUUCAAAUACCUCAGUUGGUAAUAUUAUUGGUUCUUUAGUUGCUUCCUCUGUAUUGAGUUUUGGUUGGGGUUGGUCUUUUUUAUUGCCCGGGAUAUUCAUUUUGGUCGUGGCAGCGUUUGUGUAUAUGUUUCUUGUAGUGAGCCCUGAUCAUAUUGGUUUAGAAUUGCCUUCAAAGGAGAUUGAGAUGAAUGUAGAGGGAGUUGCAUUGGUUGGUUCAGAGACAGGUGAAACUGAAGAGGAGGGAGUCGUCGUGGAACCCGAAACUGAGGGUGCAAUUGGGUUCUUGCAAGCCUGGAGGUUACCAGGAGUUGCACCCUAUGCAUUCUGCUUAUUUUUCUCUAAGCUAGUGGCCUACACUUUUUUGUAUUGGCUGCCCUUCUACUUAAGGCACACAGGUACUCAUUUCGCCGAGCUUUUACUAGGAAAAACUACUUUUUGAUGCUACUUGAUUAAGUUGAGUAUUGUUUCCAUUUUGGUCGUUGACAACGCUAGCAUCCUAUUUUCUAUAUGUAUAACUCGACUUGAAUGAUAAGAACUUGUUGUUGCUUUCCUCUUACACUGGAGUAUUUGAGAUUGGAGAUGCGUUUGGUUGUUUCAUUGCAUAUUAUAUUUAUUUGCUUAUGCUAGACGAGCAUAGGGGUAGCAAAGCCUUCACUUGCUUAGUUUGGGGUUUGAAAUGGUUAUGGUGUUCAAAAUCAGCUCUUAAUCUGCUGAGCUAAUGAUAUUAAUUAACAUACAAUUGCUCUGUUUAUGAGUAAAGUCUUC